CUUAAAGCCAUGCCCCUCACCUUAACACUUCCUGCCCAAAAUCAAAUCCCACCUCUUUGGGCAGGGGCACUCCACAGUUCUGGGCUACUGCUCCUACAGGCAGCAGUAGAAGUGUUAGGAACUCCCCAUCUGGUCCCUGCAGAGAUGAGGUGGCCUCUUUUGUGACAGUGAUUUGACUUGAGAAAAGGUGAUUUGUCUUCUGUCUUCAAAUCCAGAACAUUUACAAUACACAUGAAGGCUGUAUGUUUUCUUCCUGAACACUACCAUCUGCCCAAAAAUAUGGGAGACUGGUGAGAGUUGUAUUUGCUGAUCUAAUUCUUCUGUGGACAAGGCAACUUUGCGCUGACCUUCUCUCAAGAUAUGGGGUAGAGCAAGUGUAUUGGUAUAAAAAUAUUGCUAUAAAAACAUGCUAUAAAAAGUUGUUUGUAUGUGUGCUGUUGUGGUGUGUGGGGCUGUGCUAUGUGUAUAUUGAAAAUCACCCUUCUGAGGCUUAAUUUCCAUUUAAUCAAGUAGAUCUCUAUCAACACAGAAAACAUAGUUCUACAAAUAUUAUAUAGGCUGCAUUAAUGUAUCAUGAAGAGCACUUUAAUCUGGUCAGAACCCUUAGGUCUAGGAACUGGG